rnacentral:rRNA from 1 species
AGAGUUUGAUCCUGGCUCAGGACGAACGCUGGCGGCGUGCCUAACACAUGCAAGUCGAACGGACGAGGAGGAGCUUGCUUCUCCAAGUCAGUGGCGGACGGGUGAGUAACGCGUGAGUAACCUGCCCUUCAGAGGGGGAUAACGUCUGGAAACGGACGCUAAUACCGCAUGACAUAUUUCCAUCGCAUGGUGGAGAUAUCAAAGGAGCAAUCCGCUGAAGGAUGGACUCGCGUCCGAUUAGAUAGUUGGUGAGGUAAUGGCCCACCAAGGCGACGAUCGGUAGCCGGACUGAGAGGUUGAACGGCCACAUUGGGACUGAGACACGGCCCAGACUCCUACGGGAGGCAGCAGUGGGGAAUAUUGCACAAUGGGGGAAACCCUGAUGCAGCGACGCCGCGUGGAGGAAGAAGGUCUUCGGAUUGUAAACUCCUGUUGUUGAGGAAGAUAAUGACGGUACUCAACAAGGAAGUGACGGCUAACUACGUGCCAGCAGCCGCGGUAAAACGUAGGUCACAAGCGUUGUCCGGAAUUACUGGGUGUAAAGGGAGCGCAGGCGGGAAGACAAGUUGGAAGUGAAAUCUAUGGGCUCAACCCAUAAACUGCUUUCAAAACUGUUUUUCUUGAGUAGUGCAGAGGUAGGCGGAAUUCCCGGUGUAGCGGUGGAAUGCGUAGAUAUCGGGAGGAACACCAGUGGCGAAGGCGGCCUACUGGGCACCAACUGACGCUGAGGCUCGAAAGUGUGGGUAGCAAACAGGAUUAGAUACCCUGGUAGUCCACACCGUAAACGAUGAUUACUAGGUGUUGGAGGAUUGACCCCUUCAGUGCCGCAGUUAACACAAUAAGUAAUCCACCUGGGGAGUACGACCGCAAGGUUGAAACUCAAAGGAAUUGACGGGGGCCCGCACAAGCAGUGGAGUAUGUGGUUUAAUUCGAAGCAACGCGAAGAACCUUACCAGGUCUUGACAUCCGAUGCAUAGCUUAGAGAUAAGUGAAGUCCUUCGGGACAUCGAGACAGGUGGUGCAUGGUUGUCGUCAGCUCGUGUCGUGAGAUGUUGGGUUAAGUCCCGCAACGAGCGCAACCCUUAUUGCCAGUUACUACGCAAGAGGACUCUGGCGAGACUGCCGUUGACAAAACGGAGGAAGGUGGGGAUGACGUCAAAUCAUCAUGCCCUUUAUGACCUGGGCUACACACGUACUGCAAUGGCGUCUACAAAGAGCGGCAAGCCUGUGAAGGCAAGCGAAUCUCAUAAAGGACGUCUCAGUUCGGAUUGAAGUCUGCAACCCGACUUCAUGAAGCUGGAAUCGCUAGUAAUCGCGAAUCAGCAUGUCGCGGUGAAUACGUUCUCGGGCCUUGCACUCACAGCCCGUCA